rnacentral:tRNA from 2 species
GGGGGAGUGUUGGAAUUGGUAUACAAAGCGGACUUAAAAUCCGCUGCUCGCAAGAGAUUGAGGGUUCGAGUCCCUCCUCCCCCACCA